AUGGUUGACGGAGUUGAGCGGAUGCUUCGGGGAGUCAGGCAUGUGCCAGGGCUAAGGAGGAAUCUAGUUUCGCCUGGUGUUCUUCAUGAUGGUGGUAUGGAAUUCCGUUGUGAUCGAGAUAUGAAGACCAUCAAAAUCAUGGAAGAUGGGGUGACCGUGAUGAUAGGAGAGAGGACGGCUUUGCAUCUUUACAAGUUGCAAGGGAGCACUAUUGCAGGUGGAGCCAUGGGGAGUGGAGCUGCAAGAGUAGUAGUGGAGUCUCAUGGUGGCGGCGGGUCUGGCCCAUCAGGUAGCUCUCAGUAA
rnacentral:rRNA from 1 species